GUACAACUCUGAGCGGUGGAUCACUCGGCUCGUGUGUCGAUGAAGAGCGCAGCA
rnacentral:rRNA from 1 species